rnacentral:rRNA from 1 species
UACGUGGGGAGCAAGCGUUGUUCGGAUUUACUGGGCGUAAAGGGCGCGUAGGCGGCCACCGCAAGUCGGUUGUGAAAUCUCUGGGCUUAACCCAGAAAGGUCAACCGAUACUGCGGGGCUAGAGUGCAGAAGGGGCAACUGGAAUUCUCGGUGUAGCGGUGAAAUGCGUAGAUAUCGAGAGGAACACCUGCGGCGAAGGCGGGUUGCUGGGCUGACACUGACGCUGAAGCGCGAAAGCGUGGGGAGCGAACAGG